rnacentral:rRNA from 1 species
GGGCCCGGCGGCUAGAAGGAGCGGAGCCAGUCCGAGUCAGGCAGGUUGAGCGGCGGCAGCGAGUGGCGGCCGCGCGUGGAGCUGCCGCUGCGCACGUCCUGCAUGGCCAGGAGCGCCGACACGGUGUUGCGGAAGAUCCUCUGCUCCGCGGCGACCAGGGCCUCGCGGUCCCGCCGCGCCGCCGCCUGCCCCUCGCCGGGCGCCGUGGGGAACACCGCCUCCAUCAUGGCCUCGCACUCCCUCACCAUCAGGGACACCGCCUCCGCCGUGAAGAAGGGCUGCACUAGCACGGUCUCGAUGACGGCGAGCCGGAUCCCGGCGCCCGUGCGCUUGUCAUACUUCUUGAGGAUCUUGGCCAGGCCGAUGUAG